UCUAAUGUGGCAGAAUAGUGCGAUGGAUUUAAACCCCAAAUAUAAAGAUUAAACUUUUUUUAGAA
rnacentral:tRNA from 1 species